rnacentral:rRNA from 1 species
GAUGAACGCUAGCUACAGGCUUAACACAUGCAAGUCGAGGGGCAUCAGGAAGAAAGCUUGCUUUCUUUGCUGGCGACCGGCGCACGGGUGAGUAACACGUAUCCAACCUGCCCUUUACUCGGGGAUAGCCUUUCGAAAGAAAGAUUAAUACCCGAUGGCAUAAUGAUUCCGCAUGGUUUCAUUAUUAAAGGAUUCCGGUAAAGGAUGGGGAUGCGUUCCAUUAGGUUGUUGGUGGGGUAACGGCCCACCAAGCCUUCGAUGGAUAGGGGUUCUGAGAGGAAGGUCCCCCACAUUGGAACUGAGACACGGUCCAAACUCCUACGGGAGGCAGCAGUGAGGAAUAUUGGUCAAUGGGCGCUAGCCUGAACCAGCCAAGUAGCGUGAAGGAUGAAGGCUCUAUGGGUCGUAAACUUCUUUUAUAUAAGAAUAAAGUGCAGUAUGUAUACUGUUUUGUAUGUAUUAUAUGAAUAAGGAUCGGCUAACUCCGUGCCAGCAGCCGCGGUAAUACGGAGGAUCCGAGCGUUAUCCGGAUUUAUUGGGUUUAAAGGGAGCGUAGGUGGACUGGUAAGUCAGUUGUGAAAGUUUGCGGCUCAACCGUAAAAUUGCAGUUGAUACUGUCAGUCUUGAGUACAGUAGGGGUGGGCGGAAUUCGUGGUGUAGCGGUGAAAUGCUUAGAUAUCACGAAGAACUCCGAUUGCGAAGGCAGCUCACUGGACUGCAACUGACACUGAUGCUCGAAAGUGUGGGUAUCANACAGG